AUCGUUGAAGCACUGGUUCCUGUAUGAUCGCCGAAGUUAAGCAACGUCGAGCCUGGAUAGUAACUGGAUGGGUGACCGCUUGGGAAUAUCAGAUGCUGUAAG